GACGAACGCUGGCGGCGUGCCUAAUACAUGCAAGUAGGACGCAGUUGCGAACGGGUGAGUAACGCGUAGGUAACUACCUAUUAGAGGGGGAUAACUAUUGGAAACGAUAGCUAAUACCGCAUACUAGUAGCUGGACCUGCGUUGUAUUAGCUAGUAGGUAGGGUAAUGGCCUACCUAGGCAACGAAACAUAGCCGAGCAGAGAGGGUGAUCGGGCCAAAUGGGACUGGUACAAGGGCCAGACUCCUACGGGAGGGAGGAGGAGGGAAUCUUCGGCAAUGGGGGGAACGCUGACCGAGCAACGCCGGGGGAGGGAAGAAAGUUUUCGGAUCGUAAAGAUCUGUUGUUAAGGAAGCGGUACUUAACCAGAAAGGGACGGCUAACUACGUGCCAGCAGCCGCGGUAAUUC
rnacentral:rRNA from 1 species